CUAAAGCUCAUGUCCAAUGGAUUUUACGAGGAGUGGAGCAAUUCGUUCUGAGAGCGUUACAUUUUUUGAAGAAAGAGAUUAAAAGAAG
rnacentral:ribozyme from 1 species